UACGUAGGGCGCAAGCGUUGUCCGGAAUUAUUGGGCGUAAAGAGCUCGUAGGCGGCCUGAUGCGUCCGCUGUGAAAUCCCGGGGCUCAACCCCGGGCCUGCAGUGGAUACGGGCUGGCUAGAGGCAGGCAGGGGAGAACGGAAUUCCUGGUGUAGCGGUGAAAUGCGCAGAUAUCAGGAGGAACACCGGUGGCGAAGGCGGUUCUCUGGGCCUGUACUGACGCUGAGGAGCGAAAGCGUGGGGAGCGAACAGG
rnacentral:rRNA from 1 species